rnacentral:lncRNA from 1 species
ACGACGCGAGGACGUUUCGCAAAAGGUGUCCCAAUAAUGAGGCUCUUCGGGAAAGAAGAGACGCCGCCUAUUAAAGGCUCCUCGAAGCGUUCGAUAAUUCAAAACGCACAGUAAAUCAAAAUUUUCGGAAUUCGUGAUGACCCAAUUAAAGCUACUUCCCGCGCUCCAGCUGAUAGCCAACUGGAGCUCGGAAGUCGGGGGGUAGUGUUAGGGGAAAAACCCUAAGUCAUA